AUUGAACGCUGGCGGCAGGCCUAACACAUGCAAGUCGAGCGGAUGAAGGGAGCUUGCUCCUGGAUUCAGCGGCGGACGGGUGAGUAAUGCCUAGGAAUCUGCCUGGUAGUGGGGGAUAACGUCCGGAAACGGGCGCUAAUACCGCAUACGUCCUGAGGGAGAAAGUGGGGGAUCUUCGGACCUCACGCUAUCAGAUGAGCCUAGGUCGGAUUAGCUAGUUGGUGGGGUAAAGGCCUACCAAGGCGACGAUCCGUAACUGGUCUGAGAGGAUGAUCAGUCACACUGGAACUGAGACACGGUCCAGACGCCUACGGGAGGCAGCAGUGGGGAAUAUUGGACAAUGGGCGAAAGCCUGAUCCAGCCAUGCCGCGUGUGUGAAGAAGGUCUUCGGAUUGUAAAGCACUUUAAGUUGGGAGGAAGGGCAGUAAGUUAAUACCUUGCUGGUUUGACGUUACCAACAGAAUAAGCACCGGCUAACUUCGUG
rnacentral:rRNA from 1 species